UACGUAGGGUGCGAGCGUUAAUCGGAAUUACUGGGCGUAAAGCGUGCGCAGGCGGUUUUGCAAGCCGGAUGUGAAAUCCCCGGGCUCAACCUGGGAAUGGCAUUCGGGACUGCAAGGCUGGAGUGCGGCAGAGGAGACUGGAAUUCCUGGUGUAGCAGUGAAAUGCGUAGAUAUCAGGAGGAACACCGGUGGCGAAGGCGGGUCUCUGGGCCAAUACUGACGCUGAGGAGCGAAAGCGUGGGGAGCGAACAGG
rnacentral:rRNA from 1 species